AUUGAACGCUGGCGGCAUGCCUUACACAUGCAAGUCGAACGGCAGCACGGGGGCAACCCUGGUGGCGAGUGGCGAACGGGUGAGUAAUACAUCGGAACGUGCCCAGUAGUGGGGGAUAGCCCGGCGAAAGCCGGAUUAAUACCGCAUACGACCUAUGGGUGAAAGCGGGGGAUCGCAAGACCUCGCGCUACCGGAGCGGCCGAUGUCAGAUUAGGUUGUUGGUGGGGUAAAAGCCACCAAGCCGACGAUCUGUAGCUGGUCUGAGAGGACGACCAGCCACACUGGGACUGAGACACGGCCCAGACUCCUACGGGAGGCAGCAGUGGGGAAUUUUGGACAAUGGGCGCAAGCCUGAUCCAGCCAUGCCGCGUGCGGGAAGAAGGCCUCGGUUGUAACGU
rnacentral:rRNA from 1 species